rnacentral:rRNA from 1 species
GAUGGAUAGGAUAAUUUAAAUAAUAUAAUUGUGGUGUAAGUGGAAUUAUGAUAAGAAAAAAUUUUUUUAAUAUUAGUAGCAGGAUGUGAAAAGAAAAGAAAAGAAGAGAGUGUGAGUACUGAGAAGGAAAUAAAAUUAAGGGAAUAUAAGUAAUAGUAAAAUUUUAUUUUUGUACCUUUUGCAUAAUGGUUUAAUUAUAUUGAAGUUAAAUAAUUGAUUCUCGAAGUAAAAAGAUUUAUCUUACAUAUAUAUAUAUAUAUAUAUAUAUAUAUAUAUAUAUAUAUAUAUAUAUAUAUAUAUAUAUAUAUAUAUAUAUAUAUAUAUAUAUAUAUAUAUAUAUAUAUAUAUAUAUAUAUAUAUAUAUAUAUAUAUAUAUAUAUAUAUAUAUAUAUAUAUAUAUAUAUAUAUAUAUAUAUAUAUAUAUAUAUAUAUAUAUAUAUAUAUAUAUAUAUAUAUAUAUAUAUAUAAUUAAUUAAUUUAAAUAUAGGGGAUAAGCUCUAUGUGGGUGUGAAAAUGAUUUUAUUUGAGUUUAUAUGGAAGUUGAAUUAAUAGUUUAGCUUUUUAAGUGGUUAUAUAAAUUAAAGGUUUUUAAUGAAAUUAGAUAAUAAUAAGUUUUUAUUAAUUUAUGUUAAUUAAUUAUAAUGUUAAAAUGAGUAGAUUUAAAUUUUAAUUGUUUAAUGAUAUUAUUUGGAUUUAUAGUUAUAAAUAAUUAUGUAUUGUUAGGUGAUGAAUUAAGGUAAAGGAAUUCGGCAAAAUAAUAAUUUCGCCUGUUUAUCAAAAACAUGUCUCUUUGAUUAUGUGAAUAUAAAGAGUUGUGCCUGCUCGGUGAAUUGUUUUUAACAGCUGCGGUAUUAUAACUGUACUAAGGUAGCAUAAUAACUUGCCUUAUAAAUUGGGGCUAGAAUGAAUGGUUUGACGAAAGUUAUGCUGUCUCUAUCUUAAUUAGUUGAAUUUAAUUUUUAAAGUGAGAAAGCUUAAAUGAUUUAAAGGGACGAGAAGACCCUAUUGAGCUUUAAAUAUUAAUUUAAAUAGAAAUAGUUAUUUAAGCUUAAUAAUUUUGAUUGGGGUAAUCAAGGAGUGAAUAGUUUUAUAUCUUCCUUAAAUAAUUGUUAAUAUUAUGAUAAUAUAAAUAAAUAAAUAAACCGAUUUUUUUUGCUUUUAAGAUAAGUUACCAUAGGGAUAACAGCGUAAUUUUUUUUGAGAGUUCAUAUUAAAAAAAGAGAUUGCGACCUCGAUGUUGGAUUAAAAUUACCUUAAGGUGGAGAAGCUUUAUUUGGUGAAUCUGUUCGAUUUUUAAAAUUUUACAUGAUCUGAGUUCAAACCGGUGUAAGCCAGGUUGGUUUCUAUCUUUUAAGUUUAAAUUUAAUUUAAUUUAGUACGAAAGGAAUAAUUAAAAUUAAUUUAGAUAAUUAAUUAAAAUAAAUAAUGAAAAAA